GUGAGGAAUAUUGCACAAUGGGCGAAAGCCUGAUGCAGCAACGCCGCGUGAGUGAUGAAGGCCUUUGGGUCGUAAAACUCUGUCCUUGGGGAAGAAAAAAAUGACGGUACCCUUGGAGGAAGCUCCGGCUAACUACGUGCCAGCAGCCGCGGUAAUACGUAGGGGGCAAGCGUUAUCCGGUAUUAUUGUGCGUAAAGAGUGCGUAGGUGGUUUUGUAAGCGUAGGGUGAAAGGCAGUAGCUCAACUAUUGUUAGCCCUGCGAACUGUGAGACUUGAGUGCAGGAGAGGAAAGUGUAAUUCCUAGUGUAGCGGUGAAAUGCGUAGAUAUUAGGAGGAACACCAGUGGCGAAGGCGACUUUCUGGACUGUAACUGACACUGAGGCACGAAAGCGUGGGUAGCAAACAGGAUUAGAUACCCUUGUAGUCC
rnacentral:rRNA from 1 species